UACGUAGGAUGCAAGCGUUGUCCGGUUUUAUGGGGUUUAAAGGGUGCGUCGGCGGCCUAUUAAGUUAGUGGUGAAAACGUUCGGCUUAACCGGAUACCCGCCAUUGAUACUGAUAGACUUGAGUGCGACAGAGGGUGUUGGAAUGUGUGGUGUAGCGGUGAAAUGCUUAGAUAUCACGCAGAACACCAAUUGCGAAGGCAGAUGCCUAUGUCGUAACUGACGCUGAGGCACGAAAGCGUGGGGAGCAAACAGG
rnacentral:rRNA from 1 species